rnacentral:rRNA from 1 species
AGUGGCGAACGGGUGAGUAGCACGUGAGCAACCUGCCCCGAAGACCGGGAUAACACCGGGAAACCGGUGCUAAUACCGGAUGCCCUCACGAGGUCGUAUGGCCAUGUGAGGAAAUGGAUUCCGCUUCGGGUGGGGCUCGCGGCCUAUCAGUUUGUUGGUGGGGUAACGGCCUACCAAGACGACGACGGGUAGCUGGUCUGAGAGGACGAUCAGCCACACUGGGACUGAGACACGGCCCAGACUCCUACGGGAGGCAGCAGUGGGGAAUCUUGCGCAAUGGGCGAAAGCCUGACGCAGCAACGCCGCGUGAGGGACGAAUGCUUUCUGAGUUGUAAACCUCUUUCAGCAGGGACGAUUGUGACGGUACCUGCAGAAGAAGCACCGGCCAACUACGUGCCAGCAGCCGCGGUGAUACGUAGGGUGCAAGCGUUGUCCGGAUUUAUUGGGCGUAAAGAGCUCGUAGGCGGUUUGGUAAGUCGGGUGUGAAACCCCCAGGCUCAACCUGGGGCCGCCAUCCGAUACUGCCAUGACUUGAGUCCGGUAGGGGACCAUGGAAUUCCUGGUGUAGCGGUGAAAUGCGCAGAUAUCAGGAGGAACACCAGUAGCGAAGGCGGUGGUCUGGGCCGGUACUGACGCUGAGGAGCGAAAGCGUGGGGAGCGAACAGGAUUAGAUACCCUGGUAGUCCACGCCGUAAACGUUGGGCACUAGGUGUGGGGACUAUUCAACGGUCUCCGUGCCGCAGCUAACGCAUUAAGUGCCCCGCCUGGGGAGUACGGCCGCAAGGCUA